UGAACCUAACACAAGAAGCUGCAGAACUCUAAGUGCAUCCGACACCUGGACCAGCAGUGUGGAAAGGACUCUCCCCCGUUCCAGGGUUAAGAGGAUAAGUAGUAAUGGAAAAAGGCAGAGCUUCAAUGAGGUGCUGGUGGACAUUUUGACAGCAUUCUCUGACCCACCGAAGGCACCUGACAAAACUUUGACUGGAGCAGGAGGAGGAGGAAGAGGAAGAGUACCCAGGCAUGGCAGGCUUGAACUGGAUGAUGCUUCUCAGUACAAGUGGUGCAGCCGCUGAUGUCCCCCUGUGAAGACCAGCACUUCUGGAACAGGCCCACAAGCACAGACUGGUGGGAUCGCAUUGUCAUGCAGGCCUGGGAUGGCUGCACUUGAGUCCAGAAGUUUAGCAUGAAAAAAAGCUAUGUACUCUCA